GUCUCAGUUCGGAUUGUAGGCUGAAACUCGCCUACAUGAAGCUGGAGUUGCUAGUAAUCGCGAAUCAGCAUGUCGCGGUGAAUACGUUCCCGGGCCUUGUACACACCGCCCGUCACACCAUGAGAGUUGGCAAUACCCAACGUACGUGAUCUAACCCGCAAGGGAGGAAGCGUCCUAAGGUAGGGUCAGCGAUUGGGUGGAAGUCGUAACAAGGUACC
rnacentral:rRNA from 1 species